rnacentral:rRNA from 1 species
UACAGAGGUCUCAAGCGUUGUUCGGAUUCAUUGGGCGUAAAGGGUGCGUAGGCGGCGCGGUAAGUCGGGUGUGAAAUCUCGGAGCUUAACUCCGAAACUGCAUUCGAUACUGCCGUGCUUGAGGACUGGAGAGGAGACUGGAAUUUACGGUGUAGCGGUGAAAUGCGUAGAUAUCUGGAGGAACACCGGUGGCGAAGGCGGCAUCCUGGACCAAUACUGACACUGAGGAGCGAAAGCCAGGGGAGCAAACGGG